rnacentral:rRNA from 1 species
UACGAAGGGGGCUAGCGUUGUUCGGAAUUACUGGGCGUAAAGCGCACGUAGGCGGAUUGUUAAGUUAGGGGUGAAAUCCCGGGGCUCAACCCCGGAACUGCCUUUAAUACUGGCAAUCUCGAGUCCGAGAGAGGUGAGUGGAAUUCCGAGUGUAGAGGUGAAAUUCGUAGAUAUUCGGAGGAACACCAGUGGCGAAGGCGGCUCACUGGCUCGGUACUGACGCUGAGGUGCGAAAGCGUGGGGAGCGAACAGG